AGCUCCAAUAGCGUAUAUUAAAGUUGCUGCGUUUAAAAAGCUCGUAGUUGGAUCUCAGUCUCGAUCGAGCGGUCCGUCUUCCGACGGUACUGCGCGAAUCGGACAUUCCGCCGCGUUUCCGCGCAUGCCCUUAACUGAGUGUGUGCGGAGAGUGGUACGUUUACUUUGAAAAAAUUAGAGUGCUCAAAGCAGGCCAUGGCCUGAAUAGUCGUGCAUGGAAUGAUGGAAUAGGGCCUCGGUUCUAUUUUGUUGGUUUCCGGAACUCGAGGUAAUGAUUAAUAGGGACGGACGGGGGCAUUUGUAUUGCGACGUUAGAGGUGAAAUUCUUAGAUCGUCGCAAGACAAACUACUGCGAAAGCAUUUGCCAAGAAUGUUUUCA
rnacentral:rRNA from 1 species